UUUGAAAUCUUUUUUUUUAAGAUUCAGUUAAAGGGCAAAAAGUUGAUGAUGACAGAGAUGAUAUUACAAAAAUGAAAUCUUUAGACGAUUCAGUUAAAGGGCAGACAGGUGAUACUGAUAGUGACAGCGAUGAUAUUUCAAAAGUGCAGUCUUUAGACGAUUCUGGAAGAAGAGAGAUUGAUGAUCACAACAGAAUGAAAGCAGACAAAGAAAAUGCAGACGGGAGCUUAAAUGGAGAGAUAGAAGAAAGGACCAGAAAGGGACGAAAAAAGAGACAAAGUCAAAAUGGUGAAAUGACUCCUCUUUCAAAGUCUCGCACCAAAUCUGAUGAAAAAGAGCUGGAUAAAAAAAAAGAUUCCGAUACCGGUAUUAAAGAUGUGGUAAAUUUACCGUCACCCCAUGUUACUAUGACGACACCCGAUUUACCACAAAUACAACAAAAG